UUGUUAGAAACUAGAUUCAACAAGCUUUCUAACCGUAUAAAAUCUGAAUAGUAAAAUAGCAUAGAUUAAGAUAGGAUUUAGUUGAAAAUCAUACCAUCUCGUUCAUACAAAUGAUGCUCUACCUAGUAAGAUGUAUGAAGUUAUCUUUUUUGAGUUGUGUUUUGCUCAUAGCCUCUUUUACAUUUUAAUAUGAUUAAGUGGUAAGAGCUCUAAAUUUAGUGGGAAAGCCAGGAGAUUGGAAUUUGGUAAAUUAUCUUGUGCAAUGAGACAUUACUAGCUAUUUGAAGAUCUUUUGAUAGUGUAGCAAUACUUGAAUAUGUAUUUGGUUUGUUGUUGUUCUUUGGGGAGACUUUAAAUUUGGUUGCUAUUGGAUUUCAGUUACGAAGUUUUACCUCGAGAACUUGCAAUGAGGAUAUAUUUGAAUACUUUUAACCAUGGAAUGAUAGAAAAAGAAUCGCUUCGUAUUAUUUUGGCACAUUGUUUAAGGUAAUCAUGGCCGUAUUAUGUGUCGAUUUUGAGGUGUGAGACUAAGCAUCACAUCUAAGGUACCUUGGGGAGUCACACCUAAUUAUUGAUUGCAUCACCACAAGCACGAAUAGUAAUAAUGCUGAAGAGUCUUCUAUCAUAAUCUCAUAAUCUCUGGAAAAUAGAAUACAUUGAUAUUUUUAUAGUCAAUGAAGAGGUGUGGAUUCCUUUAAUGUUAGUCUGACCAUACUAUGUUUGUUAAGUUCACUAAUGAAGGAAAAAGAGUUAUUCGUAUUGUUUAUGUGGAUGAUAUCAUAAUCACUGGAGACAACAAGGAAGGAAUAGAUAAUUCGAAGAAACUCUUUGCAAAGAAGUUUGAAAUAAAGGACUUAGGGUUCCUUAAAUAUUUUCUUGGGAUGGAAGUGGCUCGGUUUAAGAAUGGAAUAUCAGUGUCUCAGCGUAAGUAUGUACUUGAUCUACUAAAAAAAGAGGGCAUAAUUGGAUGCAAACUUGCCAAUACACUCAUGGACUCAACUAAUAAAAUUGGAAGUGAAAAUGGAAGCUCUUUUACGGACAAAAGGCAAUACCAAAGACUAGUUGGGAAGCUUAUUUACCUCUCUCACACAACUUGAUAUUGGGUUUGCAGUAAGGAUGGUGAGUAGAAACAUGAAUACUUUAACCAAGGAGCAUCUCAACGCUGUUCAUCGCAUCUUACAAUACUUAAAGAAGAGUCUUGGUCUGUAUUUUUAGAAGUCAAUGGAUAAGCAAUCGAGGUGUAGACAGAUGCUGAUUAGUCUAGAUCAGUAAUAGAUAAAAGGUCCACUUUGGAUAUUGCACUUAUGUUUGGGCAAUUUGGUCACUUGGAGAAGUAAAAAGCAAGUUGUUGUAGCUAGGAGCAGUGCUAAAGCUAAGUUUAAAGCAAUGACCCAUGGUAUUUGUGAAGGAAUUUGGCUGAUGAGGUUACUUGGAGAAUUAAAAGUUCAAAUUGUGACGUCUAUGACAUUGUUUUGUGACAAUAAGGCUACUAUAGGAAUUGCCAAAAAUCCUAUUUAUCAUGAUAGGACCAAGCACCUAGAACUGGACCGAUAUUUCAUAAAGGAAAAGAUAGAAAAUGGGUUGGUCAAAUUGGCUUAUAUCCUUACAAGUUCACAAGUUGUAGAUAUUUUGACUAAAGCUCUUCCUAGAAGCAUUUUUGACGCAUUAAAAUCCAAGUUGAGUAUGAUUAACAUUCAUAACCUAGCUUGAGGGAGAGUAUAGAAAUAUGAUUCUCUUACAUUAGUGCAGAUCUGAUACUCCUAUAUUAGUGCAGCUUGAUUUCCUAAUUUAUUUUGGGAAUAUUUCUCAUUUACUUUUCUGAUUUAGUCAACUAUUCUAAUUGUCAAGUUUUUAGGGAUUUGUUUCUAUUUUAGAAUAGAAUAAUUUUCUUUCCUUUUAUCAUUUUUUGUUUUCUAUUUCAUGUAAGUUGUUUCCUAAUAAGGAACUUCACUGUUCCUAUUUAUUUAGAUGUACUCCUUCAUUGUAUAUAGAAUAAGAAGAAAUAAGGACAAAUGUUCUUUAAGUUCUCUACAAAUACAAAUCCAAGUAUCGUUACAUCUCAAAAGAUUUUUAAAUAGCUAGUAAUAUCUCAAUACCAAAACAAUCUCCCAAAUUAGGUCUCCUAGCAUCCCACCAGUUUAGAAUUUUUACCACUAAAUCAUUGGAAAUAAAUUUUAAGAAGGGUAUGACCAAAUCACAACUCAACAACUAUAGUCUCACAUUUUACCAGAUCAAGCAUUGAUUUCAAUUUAUCAUAUAAGGCAUUCAAGAACAUUAGUUAAAUCAUGCUAUCAAAACAUUUAAGAAAUUAUUAAAGAAUCAUUAUCAUUUCAAAAUGUGUGAUUUCACAAAUCCACAAAUCAUUUACAGAUAUGAAUCAUAUCAAAAAAUGGCAUCAACAAAUUAUAGAUCUAGUCUUUAGAAAUCUUAAGGUUUCAUUAUCUAUAUCAUUAGCUACGAUCACUACUAUAAUCUGUGACAACAAGCAUAUCGAAAAUAUAAUUCUCAUGAUCAUUACUAACAAUUAUAACCUGUUAGAAGGUCAUAUGGAAAUUACUAAAACCCAAUAGCAAGGCUCUAUGGUAAUUAUAUAACCCAUUAGCCUGUAUGUAAGCUACCAUUACCCAUUAGUGGGGGUAGUAGAACUACUUUUGGUGUUGAUUAUCCACUUUCCAUGGAUCAAAUCAUUAGAAAACUCAUAUUCCAAUUCCGUUUGGCUUGUUAGAAACUAGAUUCAACAAGCUUUCUAACCAUAUAAAAUUUGAAUAGUAAAAUAGCAUAGAUUAAGAUAGGAUUUAGUUGAAAAUCAUACCAUCUCGUUCAUACAAAUGAUGCUCUACCUAGUAAGAUGUAUGAAGUUAUCUUUUUUGAGUUGUGUUUUGCUCAUAGCCUCUUUUACAUUUUAAUAUGAUUAAGUGGUAAGAGCUCUAAAUUAGUGGGAAGCCAGGAGAUUGAAUUUGGUAAAUUAUCUUGUGUAAUGAGACAUUACUAGCUAUUUGAAGAUCUUUUGAUAUGUAGCAAUACUUGAAUAUGUAUUUGGUUUGUUUUGUUUCUUUGGGAGACUUUAAAUUUGGUUGUAUUGGAUUUCAGUUACGAAUUUUACUCGAGAACUUGCA
rnacentral:lncRNA from 1 species